ensembl:lncRNA
CAAAUGGGCAUCUCUUGCGGAUGAAAGUAAAGCAGCAAUUGGCUGAAGAGAGGAGGCCCUCCUUUUUAUAACUAGGGAUGGACAUAGCUGGUCAAAUUAAUAAUUAGGUAAAUACCUAACAGGAAUGUGGCCAGGAAAGAUUCAGUAACAAAAUCAUAUUUAGUUUUUCACAAACACAGAUAAAUAUCAAACAAUGUAUAUUUAUUUGCUGAAAAAUUCGGACUGGCAUGUAAGAAGUUGUCUGAGACCGGCACUCCAGAACAGUAGAUGGCGGUAAUGAACAUAAUGAAGUUAGAGGCCACCCCCCGUAGCAGAGGAAGUACUACCGCCACAACCAAACAUCUCUUGGCGUAACAAACCUACUGUAUAUAUUAUCAUGGAUUUAGCUUUUUCUCUUUGACUCCUGCAUUAUGAUUUUUUUUUUUACUGUAAAUAUGAUCUAGCAAGCUAAAUACUAUGGUACGACGGCUGAGCACGCUCGUCCCUUUGAUUUGACUCAGUCAUUGUUCGUUUAAUUUCCAAAGAAAUAGAGGCCGAGGGAUUUGCACUACCAACCCAGACACCACAAAUUCCCUUUUUGGACACAUGACUGCUGUUGACUAGGUGGCGGAAGUUUUUUUCAUUCUGAGUGAGACUUUUUGCUGACCUGCUUCUCUGAAACGUGAGUAGCGUGACCCCAAAGGAUCAUAAAACCAAGCAACUCCCACUGGACUCAGCGUCUGGUGAAGCACAUCCAAUUCCGUUGUGGUUCUUAUCAUGCUGCUCGCUCAACAAGGACGUCUACACUGGAAUCUCUGUGCUGGAAUGAACACACACUCCGGUCCUGUGGCUCACACACCCCAAGCUGCCACAUGGAGUCAAGGUAAAUACACCUUUGUGUCUAACUGCUGAGUGUCUGUGAAGCAGAAUGGAUUCAUCAUCCCUUUUCCAUGGUAGACUGAACUGUUUGUCUUAUACAAGUGAACCUCAACCUCAGAAGAUCCUUGAUUUGCUGUACCAUAGGGACAUGAAGUUGAUUCUGUCGCCAACUUGUGGACCUGUCCUAAGGAUCUUCAAAAACACCACUGUUGUAUUUUUGAUCACAUAGGUUUUCCUGUCAGACCGGUUGUCUUUAAUUUCCAUGCCCUGGCCUGACUGACCGGAACAUUUAUCCGAACAGAAAUCUAAUGCUUCUCACAGUGGAGAAUUCUGGACUGGUUGUGAGGUCACAGGAAAUAGACUGCAUCUUCGACACAGCUCAAUAAAUGUUUUCACAAUUUAAAUCUGAGUUUACAGUAUGAACUGUGUCACAAAUUUAUUGGUGCCAUUGAUAUUUCCUGUAGGCUAAUUUUAGUAAUUACAACAUCAAGUUAAUAAAAGGAUCAAUAGUAUGUACCUACUAUGUUUUCAUUCUCCCAGCUCGAUGGAACUUGAUGUGCUGGAGUCCUUGCUUAAGAUGUAAAAUAUCAGGUUGUUCCUUACUUGCUGCAGCCUAAUGGUCAUCUUAUUGUGAAACCUGUAACACAUUUUUAAUCUCUCAAUUUUUUUAUGGUACCAACCAGUCUCUGGACAGUCAUAAGCUCCUAACAAACCUAACGACCCUGUUAACUAAAUAUGUAUAUCUAUUUAAAAACGGUGUUGUCUAUCUGGCCAAAACAAUUUGAUCUCUGAUACAUUCUGAAUAUGUAUCCGUAUUCAGUACAAUAUGUAUUGUGAAUGCACAUCAAUCAGAUUUUAGACCUCUGUUAGUCAUCGUUUUUUGGGGGGAAGCUAUAUCUGGGUUUGCUUUACCAGUUUUUCCUUGAACAAUGCCUUGAAAAAUAAAAAUGUUGAAAUGUUCCUUUUUGGUUUGGGCUUUACUUCGUUCCAAAACGAACUUGUUACUUGUGAUUAUCCCGUUUUAUGUUCACCACCCAUUUAAUGUAGUUGUAUGUCAACCUUUUGUGUAUUCUAUCCCUAUUCUAUCUAAAAUUACCAUUAC